AGAGAGAGAGAGAGAGAGAGAGAGAGAGAGAGAGAGAGAAUCUUAUUCAAUUAAUUUUUUCUUGUAGUCUACAACUGAGUAUAUAUAGAGGGAUUGUACAGAAAAGUAAUCUAAAUAAAUGAGUCUGAUGUGACAAGUCUCCAACAUCUCUUUUGAUUCAAAUUUAAAUGGUUUCUCUUGCCUCCGACAAUUGAAUGGAUACGUUGUUGUGGAUGGGUUACCGUGAAAAUAGCUCGUUGUGGAUUGCUAAGCUUGGAUGGGUUAGCUCUUCUUUAAGAAUUCAUGUUUCUUCUUCUCAAUAUUUGUGUAAUUAGUAUCAACUUUUGGCUGUAAACUCCCAAAAUUGUCAAUGGGACUUAGAUUUGUAUAGAGUUUGU
rnacentral:lncRNA from 1 species